rnacentral:rRNA from 1 species
AUUGAACGCUAGCGGGAUGCCUUACACAUGCAAGUCGAACGGAGUGGCGAACGGGUGCGGAUUGUAUCUGAACGUGCCCAGGCGCGGGGGAUAAGUACGCGAAAGCGUAGCUAAUACCGCUUACUAUUGCAACGGCCGAUAUCGGAUUGGCUGGUUGGUGGGGUAACGGCUACCCAAGGCGACGAUCCGUAGCUGGUUUGAGAGGACGACCAGCCACACUGGGACUGAGACACGGCCCAGACUCCUACGGGAGGCAGCAGUGGGGAAUUUUGGACAAUGGGGGAAACCCUGAUGCAGCCAUCCCGCGUGUGCGAUGAAGGCCUUCGGGUUGUAAAGCACUUUUGGCAGGAAGGCGGUACCCGCAGAAUAAGCACCGGCUAACUACGUGCCAGCAGCCGCGGUAAUUC